rnacentral:misc_RNA from 1 species
GAGAUGUCCAGUGGCUGCCGUCACUCGGAUCACACUAAAUCCAUCUACACCUGUGAACCGUUUGAUUGAAUCUCUGAUUCAAUUUUACAAACAUUGUGUAAUGAACGUCAUUAGAUCAUAACUAAAAA